CUCCCUGUGGUGUAGUUGGCUAUCACGUCGGGCUGUAAUUGUUCCAUUUCACCUGAAGGUCACCGGCUCGACUCCGGUCGGGGAGA